UAGAGGGGUCAGGAGGAAAUUUGUUUAUUGGAGGGGUCUAGUUGGCACUGUUGAAGGUUGAUGGCUGGAGAGGUAUAGAAGAUACCGGAGACAAUCGAUCACUGUAGAAAUCCGACUGCUGGAGCCCAUCCAUUGUAGAAGUUCGUCUGGAAUCCAUCUGCUAUAAAAGUUCGGACGGAAUCUGGUUCUUGUAGGAGUCCGGAAGGAGGCCGCUUACUGUAGAAGCUCGGAUGGAGACUGGUUACCGUGGAAGCCCGGAUGGAGAUCGCUUAUUAUAGAAGCUCGGAUGAAGUCCACUUACCAUAAAAACUCAGAUGAAGUCCGCUUGCAAUAGAAGUUCGGAUGGAAUUCGCUUACUGUAGAAGCUCGGAUGAAAUUCGGAAGGCGAUCGACCAUUGUAGAAACUUGGAUGGAAUCCGGCUACUGUAGAAGUCCUACUACUGGAGAACCCAGACAUUGAUGAAGUUUGAAAGAAGCUCGUAGUAAAGUCGAUCGUGACAGGAGGA
rnacentral:lncRNA from 1 species